UCCGGAUAGAAGGAUUCGAACUUUCGACUUCAUCGUCCCAAACGAUGCGCUCUGGCCUGACUGAGCUAUACCCGG
rnacentral:tRNA from 1 species